GAUGAAGAACGUAGCGAAAUGCGAUAAGUAAUGUGAAUUGCAGAAUUCAGUGAAUCAUCGAAUCUUUGAACGCACAUUGCGCCCGCCAGUAUUCUGGCGGGCAUGCCUGUUCGAGCGUCAUUACAACCCUCAGGCCCCCGGGCCUGGCGUUGGGGAUCGGCGGAGCCCCCCGUGGGCACACGCCGUCCCCCAAAUGCAGUGGCGGUCCCGCCGCAGCUUCCAUCGCGUAGUAGCUAACACCUCGCGACUGGAGAGCGGCGGGGCCACGCCGUAAAACACCCAACUCUUCUGAAGUUGACCUCGAAUCAGGUAGGAAUACCCGCUGAACUUAAGCAUAUCAAUAAGCGGAGGA
rnacentral:misc_RNA from 1 species